GGAAACCUUGUUACGACUUUUACUUCCUCUAAAUGACCGGGUUUGACCAACUUUCCGGCGCGGGGGGGUCGUUGCCAACCCUCCUGCGCCAGUCCGAAGGCCUCACCGAGCCAUUCAAUCGGUAGUAGCGAC
rnacentral:rRNA from 1 species